GCCUACGGGGGGCAGCAGUGAGGAAUAUUGGUCAAUGGCCGAGAGGCUGAACCAGCCAAGUCGCGUGAGGGAUGACGGCCCUACGGGUUGUAAACCUCUUUUGUCGGGGAGCAAGACCCGCCACGAGUGGCGGAGCGAGAGUACCCGAAGAAAAAGCAUCGGCUAACUCCGUGCCAGCAGCCGCGGUAAUACGGAGGAUGCGAGCGUUAUCCGGACUUAUUGGGUUUAAAGGGUGCGCAGGCGGACCAUCAAGUCAGCGGUAAAAUCGUGGGGCCCAACCCCCUCCCGCCGUUGAACCGGGCGGC
rnacentral:rRNA from 1 species